GGGCGACAUACCUUAGCUACAGAUAAUAUAUGAUCUGCUACGCGUGUGUAGCUUCGCCGACCUAUAAAAGUCAUAGGCAGGACAUCAUCGCACAGUAGAUCAGUGAUCAGUGUUAGUGCUGGACGGUGAUAUUUGAACAGAAAAAAAACAAAGAUGAAAUUGUGCACAUUAGUCUUCGGCGUGUUGGUGGCAUGCGUGGCCAGCAUGGCUGCGGAGACAGGUCCUCUGCUAGCUGCCCUCCAGCCAGUGGAACAGCCUGAGGUCAGGGAAGUCAUGGUGGUCGACGAGCAGGGCAACAGGCAAAAGAGGAGUCUGCUUCUUGGUGCCGGUGUCCUUGGCGCAGGUGCUCUCGGUCUCGGAGCUGUUGGUCUGGCCGGCGCUGGUCUGGUCGGCGCUGGUUUGAUCGGCGCUAAGGCUGGUUUCAUUGGAGGUGCCCUCGCAGGAGGCGCCCUCUCCCACGGCAGGAGCUACGGAGGCGGCUACGGUUACGGUGGUGGCUACGGAGGCGGCUACGGAGGCGGCUACUACAGUGGUGGCUACGGAGGUGGUUACGGAGGCGGCUACGGACACGGUGGUUACAGGCGUUAUUAUCAUUAACACAAUAAUACUUAUAUAAACCAAUUUUAUUACUUUUAAAAUUACAUCAACUUGUCCUCUUCCAAAUUCCACUACACAAUAAUAUUGAUAGCAAUUAACACAAACACCAUUCACCGAACGAAAAAUAUUUACAAGCAAUAAUUCACUGUUACAUAACACCGCGUAUUUAUUUAUUACAAUUCUGAUACAAAUCAUGGAUCAGUAAUUUGUGAAGACUAGUCAUUCGUGCAUCCCUUGUGCGCGAGACUCAGUGAGGACAGGGAGAGCAAGGAAAGUAUACCUUGUAGAAGCCGACCCCUGGUGCUGAUCCCAACGACUGACUAGAAGACCAAUAAUAUGGUUAUUAAGUGUAUGUGAUACUGAAUGGUGUGUAUGUAUUAAACAAUAAAAAAAAUACAAAAUAA